rnacentral:lncRNA from 1 species
CGCAUAUAAGAUGACUGAGUUGGAGAGGCAACUUAACCAUUUUUUUUUCAUGAAUCUCGUGAAAAUCAAUUUGUGUCUCAUAUUUCAGUUCAUUACGUAGGUCUCAUACAUAGAUCACAAGGAUGAUAACAACAAAGAUAUCAUUUUGUCAUUAUCCAAAGAUUCUUAAUGAUGAUUCCGCGUAUGCCGCAUAUUUUUUAAUUACCAUGGUAUCUAAAAGGGAGUGUUAUAUCUUCGGGUUCGUCCAAACUGUAAAUAUUAAAAAUGUUAGUAGAGUUUGGUUAAAUGGUGUUGUAAUUUUAAAAUGUGAUGUCAAUUUGCAUUAUGUUUUUCAAUUUGUCCAAUGGUUGUUCUAAUCUAUCUACAUCGUUGUUAAACUAUUGUUAUUGAAUUAUGAGUGGU